UAUGAAUAUUCCUCUCUUUUAAUAACAAUUGCCGCUAGGCAACAUAUUUAUGUAAUUAUUCAUAACUCUUUUAGAAUCUGAUGCAAAUUCUCAAGGUAUUCUUAUACUGAUUCAGCGGUAUUAGAAGGUCUCUUUAAACAUUAAUUCACAAAUCUCUAAAAAGAAAAUAUGCUAAAAAUGGUAUAAAUUAGCUGGAAUAGAAGAAGAUUAGAACAAUAUCUUUGAAAAAUUACUUAAAAGUAAUUUUUAAUGCAAAUGUUUCCCCUCUAUUUUUCGGAUGUAAUUCAUUAUACGAAGAAUUAUUCAAACAGCUUAUUUUAUGUCCAAUUUUAUGUCCAAUUAUACGGCCAAUCGUAGCAAGUAAUCUGUAAAUCAGUUAGCAGCGAGAAAUGAAUUUCAAAGAUCAAUCUAGAUCAAUGACUCCAAAUUAAGCGACUAAGUCAGACUCGCGUGCGUAAUUCGAGAGAUUGUAAGCAUCAAUUUGUAUGGCUGAUUUCACAAGCAGUGAAAUUACACGUACGAAUCAUUGGAGUAGAGCGCACCUCAUUAAAAUACAAUUUAAUUUUGUACAGCGCAAUAAGAUAUAUCAAAAUGAUUAUCGUUUGUAUACGUAGUUUUUAGGGAUACGAACCAGUUAAAAGGAAACAAUUGUGCUAAAAGGAUACGUAUGGGAAAAAAGCAGAAUUUGAAGAAAAACAAACAUAUUAGACAACCUAAAAUAAUUCUUUCGUCAUAUAGGUAGCAGUUAUUUACCGUUUAAGAGACCCAAAUCAACAAGCUCAACAAUAUCACACACGAUUACAGCACAGCGUAGCGAGGAUUAAUCCUGAAACGUGGUCAGGAGGACCUCAACUCGAAAUGACGGUAAAUACGAAGUUCGUGGAAAGGGAGGGGGGGGUCAAUCAUCGUCAGGCUUGCGUGGAAAAAAUAUUAAUCUCUGUAAGCGUAUCUGGGGCAGGGAAUAUCGAUCGUACGAUCUGGGUCAGAGCUUGCAUGCACCUUGCUGCACGCGUACGCGGCAGGGUGCAGCGGCCAUGUCGUUUGAACAACGACGUACACGUGUGUAGCCCUCGUGAAAAGUCUCACGUGCAAGGUGCCUCUCCUCCUCAGGAAACUUACAACAGUCAGCGCGAUAAGAGCGAAUAAAUGCGAACCGCCGACUGCUAAGAGACUGCUUCCUUAGUUUAAUUCCCCGCGUUGGAAACACGUGGCCAACGGACACGAGGAGUACAAAAUAACCCGGUGAAUUACACAAUAAGGAGAUUGAAGAUAAAUGUAUAAUUGCAUGGAUGACUGACGAGAUUAACUAUGACAAUGUCUAAGAUGAAACGAUGGAACAAUGCACGACAGGGAAUCGCUAACCGGUAUUUUAUCUAACUCGAAUUCGAAUAUAAUUUGAGAAAUUCAUGUCUAAUACACCAUUAAAGAAACUUUUAUCGUAAUUUCGAAAUAUCCACGCUGUUAGACAAAAUUUCACGAUCACCGUUAAAAGAAGAUAUACGUAUGUAUAAAUAUUAAUUAAAAUCCCAACAUCUCCGUAAUAUUUAUCUAAUAUUUCAAUAAAAGGUUACGUCCCCAUAUUACUGCUCAAUAAUAAUCGUAUUUUGUACGUUUGAUCUUUUACCAUAAAUACAAAACUAGAAGCUUAAAACAUCAUAUACUUACUAAAAUAUCAGUAAAAUACUUUUUACGUAAUAAAAGCAGCGAGAUAAAAAAAAGUGUGUUAUUUUCAU